rnacentral:rRNA from 1 species
UACGGAGGGUGCGAGCGUUAUCCGGAAUUACUGGGUUUAAAGGGUGCGUAGGCGGCCAAGUAAGUCAGGAGUGAAAGUUUGCGGCUCAACCGUAAAAUUGCUUUUGAUACUGCUUAGCUAGAAUUAGGAUGAGGUCAGCGGAAUGUGGCAUGUAGCGGUGAAAUGCAUAGAUAUGCCAUAGAACACCAAUUGCGAAGGCAGCUGACUAGACCUGGAUUGACGCUGAGGCACGAAAGCGUGGGGAUCGAACAGG